CUCCACGCGACCCCCGACGCCACCGCCGCCGCGACCACACCACAGCUUGUGCUCUCCUCCCCCUCUCCCUCAUGGUCAAGGACGCACGCCGGCCGCCGCCGCCGCCUCCCCGUCGCGAGGGCCGACGCCGCCCGGCGCCGCCACCACCGCUCCGCGUCGUCCCCGGCCGUCGUCCACCGUAGCGCUGCUCCACGCCGUCCCGGGCGCCCCCCAUCUCCAUGACCCUGCUGUGCCCAGCGCCGCGCCGUCCCCGGCGCCGCAGAUCCGCACCACCCUGUCGCGGUGAUGCCGCCCCCCCCCCCCCCCCCGCACGUGCCCCAGAUCCACGACCGCCCUCGCGAGAUCAAUCGUCGAUGAGGAAGAGUGAGGAGAUUCUUCCUCGUCCAGCAGCACCAUGAAGUGGAGUUUGGAUGGGGGCUAAACAAGCAGAAACGAGGGGAAGGGAGAGAGCAUGAGAUCGUGAUCUCAUCUAGAUAUUGGAACAAAUUGGUUUGUGCUUCUUCCCUGCAUUUUUUUAAAGGUUCUCAGCAUUGUAGUUGUGUGAGGGCUCAAUUGCCAAAGGUGGCACCAAAUUGAAUUGAUUGUGUCAAAUGGGAUGAAGAUAACUUGAAUGACAUUGAGUCAAACAAACCAGAAAGAGAGAAGAUCAAACUUAUCAAUGAAGAUGCUGAUUCUUUUGCAAGGAGACUAGAGAUGUACUACAAGAAACGUCCAGAAAUAAUGCAAUUGGGCCAAGAAAUAGAGCCACAUAAUCCAGAUAUCUCUACAUUUUUUUCUUGAAUCUCAAAUAUUUCAUUUUAUUCUUGUUUAUGGAAAUAUAAAUUGUUUUUUGGUUGUUUUGAUAUGCAUGGAUAAAAUGAUAACUGCCUGGGCGUCAUCGAGCUGAUCAUGACAAGGCAGAAGCUCAACUUCACCUCUGAGCUCAACACCAUCUGCAGUGCUCUCCAGGCAGUUAACCUGAGAAGCACAGAAGUUUCAAGCAUUCCACGCAUACAGGUGAGCAUCAAAAUAACUAUGUACUCAUUGCUUCCCAGCUGAGUUUUGGCAAAUAUCGCAUUUUUAAAAAUAGAUUCAGAAUCUCAGGACCUGUAUAUUCCAAAUGUUUGAUAUUGCAAUUUAACACUUACUGUUGGUAUGAUGUGGAACCCUACCUAAAAUUGCUUUUUUAAACUUUGGAACUUUCAGUGUACCAUAGCUCAAAUAUAAAAGUAAGUGUAGAUAAAGACAUUGAGACAUAAAACAAUGAUAUACUUAUAUCUUCUCAUGACUGCAUGGCCACUGUUGUUGAUUAUCCACCAGUUCAGCACUGCUUCCUACAAAGAUGCUUUUACCAGAGAUACUGGAAGUCCUGAGAGCAGCUUGCCUCACCCACAAGCUGCCAUUAGCUCAGACCUGGGUCACAUGUGCUCAGGAAGGAAAACGGGGCAGCCGACAUUCCAAUGAGAACUACCGAUACUGCAUCUCCACCAUUGACGAAGCAUGCUUUGUGAAUGAACCAAAGAUGCAAGACUUCCAUGAUGCGUGCUCUGAGCACCACCUACUGCGGGGGCAGGGUGUUGCAGGGAAAGCCUUCACCACAAACCAGCCAUGCUUCCUGCCAGAUAUAAGCAGCUGCUGGUGUGUUGUCAUGGGCCGAUUCCAACAAAGCCUGAUCUCAAAAAAAAAAAAGUCCAACAAAGGCCCAGCCUGCACCCCUGGUAUAAGCAGCCUGCACCAUCGCCUCAUUUAUGAGUUAUAACUUAUCAUUAUUAAUCCUUGGGGUUUCAUUAUUAUAUAGUAUAAGAUUAUAGCUUACAAGUAAUCUGAAUUUUAAAUCUCAUGUAGUUACAUACUUGACAAUUCUAAAGAUAAAGAGAUGCAACUAAAUUUGACAACAAUGAAGAAUUUGUUUUCUUUUAGUUAGUACUCCCUACCAAGGUUUUCAAGGCGUCGCCUAGGCGUCUAGGCGGGAAAAAAACCUGGGCGUCCGCGUCGCUUUUCCAUUCCUCGCCUUGCCGCCGUCCGCCCGGCGCUCUGCAGCUGCGCUCGCCGUCCGCCCGGCGCUCGCCGAGCCGCAGCCGCUGUCCGCCCGGCGCUCACCGAGUCGCAGCCGCCGCUCGCCGGCCUGCCGCUUGGCCGUGGUCGCGCCCACGCACGCCGAUGUGGCCGCCUGGCACCAGGCACCAGCGAGCUCAGCGCCUGAGCCGCGCCGUGCUCGGCCGCUCGCCGUCUGCCCGCGGAGGUGGAGAAGGCAGGGGUGGGCAGCGGCGGAGGUGGAGGAGGGCGGCGGCAGCGGGUGAGGAGGCAGAGGCGGGCUGGCGGCGGCGGUGCGGCUGGAGGAGUCGGGGAGGAGGAAGAGGUGGGGAUGGGAACCGGUAGAGGUUAGGGUUAGGAUAAGUAGUGGGGAGUUUGGGCUGCCUGUGUUGGGCUGAUUUAAUGGGCUUCUUUUCACCUUUAGGCCCACUAGUUCUCUCCUUUUUCUUUUCUUUUACAGGUGACUAUCUAAAUCUGCUAGGUUAAAGUCUAAUCAAGAAAGUAAUUAAGGCGUCGCCUCGCCUCUCGCCUUAACCGUCUAGGCGUCCGAGCGGUGGCCCACCGCCUCGCCUCGCCUUACCGCUUUAAAAACCUUGCUCCCUACAAAACAUGCUCUUUAAAUGACGAUUCUGAUCUUGUCAUUACAAUCUUGUGGGGGCGAAAAACAAUCACAACCAUGACUUCAUUUCACUUUUUAUUAUCUAAAAUACUUAGCAACCAAACUAUAAUACUUAUUGAUGAAAAUAGUGAUUGGCUCCAUAGGAAUGACUUGUAUAUGCUAAGCCAUUUACCAGGUAUUAUUGGUCAAGUUUUUUAGUUCUAUGCUGCUGCCAGCUAUAAUAUUUUUGAGACUUUUUGAUACAAUUAGUUUGGUUGUGCCCAGCUGCUCCUCCAAGGUAAUGGCAGAUACACCUCUUCAUUUUAGUAGUUUGGUUGUUCUUGAUUCAACGAUGUACUGCUAGAACCACAAAAGGAACAUUUGCAAUUGGUUGUCUUACAGUAUUGUAGACAGGGGACUUUAGCUCAAGUUUUAGUUGUGCAGAAGCUUUUUAUGUUAAGAUGUUCUACUAGCAGUGACUGUGUUCAUAUUUUCAUUCAAUUUCUGUAAAAACAAAGACUGAACAAAACCGGUUUACAAGUUCAGAGUUCAGAUCCAUCUUUGACCUUGCUGAUGUAUGUCACCAAUCUUACACUUCAGUGGUUCUGAAGUGAAGCAUCUGCUUUUUUUAUGGCCUUCACAGUUAAUUUUUGAAUAUCAUAUGAUAGUUAUUUUUCUUUUAACAUGUUAUCUGAAAUUAACAGGAGACAUGCUAGAAUGGCAUAAUCUUCGCUUGGUGUUUAGAGAACCUUGUAAUCUCAUCUUCAGGUAUAUUUUGCACACAAAAAUUUUGGGUUUACCUUCUCGAUUUGGUCUGAUGGAUGAUCAGGCUGCCAAGGCAUUCCGUCCCUUCUCCAUUUAAUAGGCCAAGGUGAGUCAUCUAGCAUUGCUCCUUUUAAAUGAUGAACCAUGCUGAAACAUCAGGCUGUUGGAGACUAACCUAACACUGAAAAUUUUUAUUGGUUGAGUUCAACAUUUGUCACAUUGCUAACACUUUCAGACUGCUAGACCACACUAUGUAAGUUUGGAGUACUCGAGGUUCUUGUGGUAUUCUCCAAAGUAGCGAUGUUGUUUCUGUUUCUUUUUCCAUAAUUUCUGAAUUUGCAAAGUUCUCAAGUGAAUUUACUUAUUGUAAGAAACCAGUGCUUCCAUAAUGUAUAAUUCAAUCUGUGUUCAAAUUUUUGUAAUGUUUGUUCAUAAAAUAUAAUCAUAACAUGUGGGCGUUUAUACGUACAUGAUAAAAUGAAAUUUUUAUUCUUUUA